CAGGAAGUUCAGCACUGGCUGAAGCUGGGAGCAUGAGGCAGGCAAGCAGAGAGGGGCUGCUGGACUGUAAUCCUGUUUGUGUUUCUUUGCAGACAGGAGACAUCAGGAGAUAUAUUCUGUAGGGCAGCCCUGAAGAGAUGAUGUUCACUGUGCAUGAGAGAGGUGUUCCUGCUUAGAGGGAAAGGGAUAACCUGCUUUGGGUACACAGAGAAUGAGCGGACAACUCAAAAGAGCAACCAUACUUGAACCUGAUACAGAAGCUUAUGCAAAGGGGUGAAGGUAUUUGAUGAGGAGAACUAUGUGGUCAGAGUGGUGGUGAAGAUUGCUUUGCCAGCAGGAUUUUGGAUGGGCUAGCAUGGAGUGAAUUAAGAAGCUAAAGGCAAGAAGGAUGCAGAUUUCAGUAGCUGAGGUGGGAACUGACCGAGA
rnacentral:lncRNA from 1 species